UCGGACAUGAUUAAAGCAUCCAAGGAUGCACCACUGUUAAAGACACGCGGAAUGUAAAGCGUACAAACGCGACACGACAUCACCCGUACAAAAUAGUCCACGUAACAUUCAUUAAGCGCGAGUGCAUUGUGUCCCUUUAAGUUCAGCUGCACCACGAUGGGCACGUUGUAUCACAUUAUACCAGUUGUUCGAUAGCAGUUGAAUCAUUUCACACAGAUCUAUUUCGACAACUGGUCCUUGCCUGCAGAAUCAUUUCAUGCAUGUCCCUAAAACGACGUUCACACACACACACACA
rnacentral:lncRNA from 1 species